rnacentral:rRNA from 1 species
UGUAACCUGCGGAGGGAUCAUUACCGAGUUUACAACUCCCAAACCCAAUGUGAACGUUACCAAACUGUUGCCUCGGCGGGAUCUCUGCCCCGGGUGCGUCGCAGCCCCGGACCAAGGCGCCCGCCGGAGGACCAACCAAAACUCUUAUUGUAUACCCCCUCGCGGGUUUUUUUAUAAUCUGAGCCUUCUCGGCGCCUCUCGUAGGCGUUUCGAAAAUGAAUCAAAACUUUCAACAACGGAUCUCUUGGUUCUGGCAUCGAUGAAGAACGCAGCGAAAUGCGAUAAGUAAUGUGAAUUGCAGAAUUCAGUGAAUCAUCGAAUCUUUGAACGCACAUUGCGCCCGCCAGUAUUCUGGCGGGCAUGCCUGUCCGAGCGUCAUUUCAACCCUCGAACCCCUCCGGGGGGUCGGCGUUGGGGAUCGGCCCUGCCUUGGCGGUGGCCGUCUCCGAAAUACAGUGGCGGUCUCGCCGCAGCCUCUCCUGCGCAGUAGUUUGCACACUCGCAUCGGGAGCGCGGCGCGUCCACGAGACCGUUAAACACCCAACUUCUGAAAUGUUGACCUCGGAUCAGGUAGGAAUACCCGCUGAACUUAA